rnacentral:rRNA from 1 species
UACGUAGGCAGCAAGCGUUGUUCGGAGUUACUGGGCGUAAAGAGUGCGUAGGCGGUCCUGUAAGUUUGGUGUGAAAUCUCCCGGCUCAACUGGGAGGGUGCGCCGAAGACUGCAGGGCUUGAGUAUGGGAGAGGUAAGCGGAAUUCCUGGUGUAGCGGUGAAAUGCGUAGAUAUCAGGAGGAACACCUGUGGUGUAGACAGCUUACUGGACCAUAACUGACGCUUAGGCACGAAAGCGUGGGUAGCAAACAGG